rnacentral:rRNA from 1 species
CAACUUUUAGCAACGGAUCUCUUGGCUCUCCCAUCGAUGAAGAACGCGGCGAAAUGCGAUAAGUAAUGUGAAUUGCAGAAUUCAGUGAAUCAUCGAAUCUUUGAACGCACCUUGCGCCCUCUGGUAUUCCGGAGGGCAUGCCUGUUUGAGUGUCAUUA